rnacentral:rRNA from 1 species
CAGAUUGAACGCUAGCGGGAUGCCUUACACAUGCAAGUCGAACGGCAGCGGGAAGAAAGCUUGCUUUCUUUGCCGGCGAGUGGCGAACGGGUGAGUAAUGUAUCGGAACGUGCCCAGUAGCGGGGGAUAACUGGCCGAAAGGUCAGCUAAUACCGCAUACGCCCUACGGGGGAAAGGGGGGGAUUCUUCGGAACCUCUCACUAUUGGAGCGGCCGAUAUCGGAUUAGCUAGUUGGUGGGGUAAUGGCCUACCAAGGCGACGAUCCGUAGCUGGUUUGAGAGGACGACCAGCCACACUGGGACUGAGACACGGCCCAGACUCCUACGGGAGGCAGCAGUGGGGAAUUUUGGACAAUGGGGGAAACCCUGAUCCAGCCAUCCCGCGUGUGCGAUGAAGGCCUUCGGGUUGUAAAGCACUUUUGUCAGGGAAGAAAAGGUUCUGGCUAAUACCCGGAACUGAUGACGGUACCUGAAGAAUAAGCACCGGCUAACUACGUGCCAGCAGCCGCGGUAAUACGUAGGGUGCAAGCGUUAAUCGGAAUUACUGGGCGUAAAGCGUGCGCAGGCGGUUCGGAAAGAAGGAUGUGAAAUCCCAGGGCUCAACCUUGGAACUGCAUUCUUAACUACCGAACUAGAGUAUGUCAGAGGGGGGUAGAAUUCCGCGUGUAGCAGUGAAAUGCGUAGAUAUGCGGAGGAAUACCGAUGGCGAAGGCAGCCCCCUGGGAUAAUA